AUUACGAUUUUGGGAGGGGUUUGGGGGGGGGGGUGGGGGUUAAGUUUUAUGCAUUUAAGGAGAUGAGGCAGCACCCGCCCCAAAACUCGCCCCCUGCCCUCUCACCAAGAGCUGAGUCAGCGCCUCAGGACCAGGCGAGGUGGUGGUGGUGGCACUGGGACCAGAUGAGGCACUGGGACCAGAUGGCAGCUGCCGGUGUGCCGCUAGGUCACCCACCCGCUGCCUCUCUGCCAGCGCCGCAUGCCAGACACUAAGCUCUCAGGACACCAGCAUGGGAGUCUGUGAGAAGAUCUGAGAGGAAACUGCAGUUUUUAUGGUGGAAUACAACUAUGAAUCCCAAGAAAACACUUUGCAAAGCUACCAGAGAUCCAACUCUCCAUUCAGACUUGGUUGCUCAGAAUGAACAUCAAGAGGCUGCAAACUCUGGAUAAGCACUCCUACUGCCCGUGCCACCACAGAGCAAUGAACUUUAACCAGCUUUAAGCCUCUGUGCAGGUAAAUUGCAUUGUCAAGUUCAGUUAGAGUAUUAAGUUUGGAUUUCUACCCUCAGUUACUCGUAACAUUGUUCUUUCAAAGAAGUACCAGCCUGAAUUUUACCUAAUGACAGCACUAGUAGGAAGCAAAAUGCUUUCCAGGUUCAUCUGACGGGUAGUUGAGCACCCCUGCGUGUACCUGCUCGGAGCACAUACUUCUUUAUGUACCCAUAUGAACAUACAAUGCUAUGGAAUGUAAAGAAGUAUGUAUUUUUGGCAGGCACGGAACAACCCGUAAGAGGAAACUAAACAGCUGUUGGAAGAAACAGGCUUCCCCCUUGUUUGAAUGACAUUCAUGUGACAAAUUAACUUGCUAAGGGGUCAGCUGGUAUUGCCAAAAUAACACGGACUUGUUAGUACCAAAUCACAAAGCCUUAAAUUAGGUGACUGCAAACGUGGGUAGGAAAAGUUGCUUGUGGGUUAUAAGCAGAACGUUAGCUGUACACACAAAAACUCAAAAGGAGGCUGGAAACAAUUAAAACAUACUAAUUAAGAUCACAGCAUAGCAGUGAAAAUUACGAUUACCAGUACACCUCAUUCAAAAGACCCUAAGCAAACCUUAAAAGCCAAACUGAUUACCAAAAUGUAUUGUUUUGGUAAUCACAACAAGCCAUUAUUUGGUUAAUCACAGCAAGUUCUGUGUGCUUAAGAUAGCAGGCUUUAAAUUUACAUCAACCACAGGGCAUUUCACCUACAGGCUGCAAUUAGGACACGAGCAGAACCAGCUAGGAAAUUCAGCCCAUGAUUUCGAGAAAAGGAUCAUCAUCAGAAUUACUGAGCAUGCUAGCAUCUGCCAUUUAAUACGUGACACUUAAGUUAGAAUUUUCUCCAAAGCAGCAUUCAGCAUGCUCACCGAGCUCUGCGACACAAACUGCUCUGUCAGGUUUAUGCACAGAAAGUGACAAUAAAGAGAUUUCUAGGCCACAGUUCCCAGUCAGCAGAUUAAAGCUAUUGACAGAUUCCUAAAUGAAAACACAAAUGACAACUAACAGUUAGAAGUUAAGUCCCCUUGAAUACUGUUUUCAAAUGAACUGAAUUUACUGUAACGCUAGAUAAAAGAAAAUUGGCCAAGGAAAUAUGAUUUUAGAGCACCUAGGAAAUUGUAAGACCUCUGUGAGAAAUAUCAAAGCAUGGGAAAAAGUCCUACAGCAGUUUCGAGCUCCAAAAGCAGUAUUAAUUUAAACAUACCAUCCCUAUGAUGCUCAUUAUAAAAUUCAGAAGUAAGGAAAAUAUGAGGAAAGCUCCCAGCUCAUCAGUCCAGCAAUUCCUAUUCAUAAUAGCAGCCUUCUAAAAACAGUUACAUGAUACAUGCAUGCAAAGUAGACACGUUUGUCCCAGAUUAAAUGUCCUAACUCUACCCAUGUGCUUACUGAAAAGUCCGGGAGGAGGAAAAAUAACAGAAAAAAAAAAAGAAAUAGGCGCCAUUUUUAGAUGGAGAACCUUAUUUUUAAAUACUCACAUAAAUUCUCAAAUAGCUAUUAUACAUAGCCUGCUAUUUUUGUUACCUGAAACUACAGAAUAACACGUACACAAGAACGAACAUUCUCUUAUCAGAACCAUUUGCCUAAGUAAAAUGCUAAAUUUCUUUGAAAGCUAUUUCUUUUAUAAGCAGAUAUUUCGGCACAAAGGCAAUGGCAUCUUAACAUCUAAAUUAAAAACUGGGUUACAGUGGGAAACAAAUCAAACUGUAGUGUCUUUUCUAAGUGCAGUGACGCUACUGAACUCGACCAGGCUCCUAGAAGCAAUUUGGUAUUACCAGCAGCUUUACAGAGAGGUUAACUGCUACGCAUUUACGCAUUUUGCUGAGGAGUUCCUGUCCUCGCCACCAAUUGAUUUGGCCUCCGCUAUGCAAUCCAACUUUUUAACAGCUUCAAUUUAUUUUGACAAGUUUUUGGUAACAAGUCGUCAUGUUGUGUUCUUUCGCUGCUUCUUUGUGUACCAUCGCAAUGCGAUUCCGAAACAAAAUGACAGUUCCCAGCCCUACAGAAGUUAAAAUUACACAUCCACAUUGCUUCCUGCUGGUCCACGUUAGCAUGUCUCUAAGAAUACAUACCCAGUCACUCUGAAAUGUCACAUCCAUCACUUAGAUCAGCUGUUCAAUUUUAACCGAGCACACGCUGAACUUUGGGCAUCUGCUGACACAGUUGUAACUCAAACAUUUCAACUGUGUGACUGACAGGGAUAACAGAUGCUGACAUUAUCAAAUGCUACACGGCUUUUUUUCCAGGGCCGUUUUUUGUCCCGAUAUGGCCAGUACAUGCAACUGUAUUGCCAUCCAAAAGUGCACUUGAGCAGCUGUAUCUGUAAAACAGUUCCUGUAUAACUGGUAAAAAUAGAAACUCAUUUUAUAGCCGUCUUUAAUGCUUAAGUCCAAGCGACACACCUGCUACGCUUCUAUUAGGAUCCAUGGUGUGGGGAAUACAUUUACAUAAAUCUUCUCACCAGUAUCGGGCUCUGCAACAAGCAGAUGCAGACUAUACUUGAUAUAGUCAUUAGGGAAUAGCUUGAACUCACGUUGCCUCCUAUUUCCCACUGCAGUCAAAGCUCAUAAAGAACUCGGCACACAACGUUUAAAAAAAAAAAAAAAAAAAGCUAUGUAAGCAUGCACAAAUGUAUGCAGGAGCCUUAGUUGAGCAAAAACCAGACACAGUGCCAGAUAAUUCUUUUAAAAACUGCGUUUUGCUGGCAUUAAACAUGCUUAUGUAUUUGAUCAACAGUUAAAAAAAAAUCUGCCCUGCUAUAUUAUAUAAUCAUUCCUAAAAAGUUAAUACUAACCAGAGAUAUAGUGGUGGAAUUGAAAGCACUUGACAUUUACACUUGUGCUAACCAGCCACAGCCCUGGAGCAGCUGCAAAAGGUAACCUGCCAGAAAACCAAGGGGGGUAGGGAGGUGGGAAAACAAAACCUCCUCUCCAGUACAGUUUAACAUCGAGAGGCGAAGGAAGCCUACGGGAGCAGAGCCUGUAAGCACGCUGUUUCUGGUCAGUGCUCUAGAGUUUAGUCACUGGAGAUGGAAAACAGCUUAAACUGCAAGUGUAAUUUGACUUGAGACUCCUCCAAAAGAGCCUCGAGAAAUAAACACAGUCGUGUACCGUACAGUCCUUGCUGGUACAUAGCUUACCAUGUUGCCCUCUCCAAAUUAAUCACAGAAUUUAAAUUUGCAGUGGCUAGAAACAAAACAUACAACGCAGGAGAAAGCCCCAUGUUCUUCGUAAGCAGUCUGUCUAGGUUAAAGGGCCUUAGAAAUGUUGUGUUGAAUUAUAACUUUCCUGCACUCCAAUGCUUUGCUAAAGCUGGUAAAAUGGAACCAAAUCACCUCUUCAAUGGAUUUGGUCCCCUUCAACCAGCUGUAGCUAUGCAUUGAUCACUACAGGACUUCUCGUGUUUUUAAACCCGGACACUAAGCCUCUUCAGAGCAAUUAUGCAGCCCUCUCUGCAGAGGAGUUUGAUUAUUCCUGGUACUUUGAAGACAAAAGGUAACAAAAAGCAUAGUAAGUUCUGUAUUCCACGAUUUCAAGGUGGUGUCUAUAAAUAAACAGCUACUGGUCUUUAAUAUCCUGUCCAUAUUCAGUGAAAAUUGAUCUCAUAACUUUUAUGAAGAUAGGCAAACAGCAAAAUAAACAGAUUUUCCAAUCA